AGAUUCUGGUCUGUGGUGUUCUUCCUGGCCGGUCGUGAGAACGCGUCUAAUAACAAUGUUCCUCUGCUGGCCCCAGAGUGGAGAGAAUCCUCACGUGACUAGCAUGUCCAUCCUUUCCACUGAGCUGAGCUGGCCCGUCCAUCCUGCCUCUACUCACUGACCAACUUGUUCUCCCUUGGGCCUUGAUGCCUCUGCCACCUGCUGUCUUCGUCCUGGUGCCCCCAAGACAUUCUGAGAUGGAAGUCAAUCCACACGUGAUGGGAGAAGAGAGUCGCCCAUUCUGAGAGGCCC